rnacentral:rRNA from 1 species
UACGAAGGGGGCUAGCGUUGUUCGGAAUUACUGGGCGUAAAGGGCGCGUAGGCGGUGUGUCAAGUCAGGCGUGAAAGCCCCGGGCUCAACCUGGGAACCGCGCUUGAGACUGGCACGCUAGAGUUCGGGAGAGGAUGGUGGAAUUCCCAGUGUAGAGGUGAAAUUCGUAGAUAUUGGGAAGAACACCGGUGGCGAAGGCGGCGAGCUGGUCCAUUACUGACGCUGAGGCGCGACAGCGUGGGGAGCAAACAGG